UUUUUCAAUUUUCAGGAUUUUGGAAGCAUUGCCUUCUGCAGAAUCCAUAGUACUCCGAAGUUCUUCUACAGUUUUUGUUAGAGUCUGGUUUUCCAUCUCCAACUUCAGUAACCUACUUGAUGUUAACUCAUUCACUUCAUGGCCCAAGGAUUUUUGCGGUGCUAUAAUGAUGAAAUACUGUCAUUGAAAUGAAGAAAUUAACUGAGAAAGAAAAACAGAAUGUAGAAGCAAGGAUUGUCAAAUCCUUGCAGUCAAACUCAACCUCCUGCAACACCAAACUGCGUAACCAUUAAAUAUAAAAAAGCUACUGAUGAUGGCCAGUACUGACAACUGCUAUACCUCGGCCAGGGGCUGCACUGCCAACCUGGGCAGCUUCACCAAUGCAACUUCUGAGGCCAUUUCUAAGACCUAUAGCUAUCCCAUCUCUACCUCUGGGAAGAGGCCGUGUUCAUCAAGUUUCCCUACCAGGAAUUCACUAACCAUUUUGUACAGACCGAUACCAGAAUCUCCGGGGAGAGGACCCAGGCUCCAACUGUGGCUAUCACAUAGUUUUAUACAAUAAAAAUUA